rnacentral:piRNA from 1 species
UUAGUUUAAUUUAGUUUGCCU